CUCAUUUAACGCAGGCUGAAGAACACAAGAACUUGCUGAUCUUCGUAGAUGCGUUGAAUGGCAGGCACGCUCUUUCUCUGGUGACAGCUGAGGACUUAAGGAGCGGGGCUGUCUCAAUCCUCAUUCCAGGUGAAGCAUUCUGGGGACAGCAUCUUAGCAGGAAGGAAUCAUCUUCAUUUCACAGAGGAAGAAACCAAGGUUCCAAGAAGUAAAGUAACUUGCUCAGCAUCACACAGCUGGAAAGAGUUGAGAUUUCCUGAUUUUCUCAUCUUGAUGGAGACCAUUUCCUCUCUGUUCCUCUCAACAAAAUCCCAAAAAGCCCAAGAAGAGGGUCCCGUCAUUUUUUUUCCCCCAACUGCAAUAUCCGAGUAAAGUCAGGGAAAGUUUCCUAUCAAAGCUAAACCACCUUUAUUUGCCGCAAGCCCUUUUGGGAACAACAUGAUUUGUUAAAUCUUAACUUCAACCUAUAUAUCUUAAAAGAGGAAUUAACUGUAGAUAUUUAUAAUCUUUUCAUCUUCAAAGCACUUUACGUAUUAACUAGUUAAAUUUCAGCAACACCCUUGAUUAACUCCUUUUUAUAGAUGUGGGAAAAGAGGCGUGGAAAUAAUAAAAAAUGCUCUUGGCCAUGAUGGAAUCAGCAUUCCAAGGUAGGAUUAGAAUUUGAAAUUUCCUGUCUCCACCUUUCACAAAACCAACAGACUAGUCUCCUGCCUUGAUGUCUUGGUGGAAUGAUAUGAUUUGGCCAUCUCAGCCCUUACAUUCUUUUAAUAGAGCUUUCUCAAAAGUGCCUAUGAUUUCUCCAGUGCUUUUUACAAUUCAUUCUGUAUGGCAUUAUGCCAUGACUUUAUUCACUUCUUAAAUCAAAGGAGUUAUUUGAAAAAGUGAACAAAAUGCCCAAUUCUUAUGGUUUCACUCAGCUCUCUUGCGUCUCCCCUUGGAGGCUAUUCUUAGACAUACUGUCCAUUCAGGAAUCCAAGGUAAGCCAGCUUUAUCUGGCAAGUCCCCAAAGAUGUCUUCUUUCCAUAUGUCCAGACAGAAAGCUAAGCAGUAAUUCAAAGACAGAAAGGGGUCAGCAAUAACCACUUUCAUAGCUACCAGGUAGAAACUCAUUGUCAAUUUCAUCUUCAACACAAUUUCCCAAUCUUUUUAAUGUUGGAGGAAUCAUUUGAAAUGUGAGAUUUCUGGGCAGCUGUUCCAGCCGGGUGAGAUUCUUGCUGACAGGUAUCAGACUCUUAUUAGCAUUCUGUGUUCUGAAUUAAAGGAGAAAGCCUAUCUCUAAAUAUAUACCAGAGCCUUGCAAGGUUGGUGGGGGUGAGUACCUUAGCUGAACUUGGCAGAGACUAAAUAACUCUGACGGCCCCCUUUUCUAAGAUUUUAUUAGUCUUUGCUGGACUUGAUAGCUUUGGUAUAGUUCAUAUAGGAUUUUCAUUGUGACAAUAAGGACCUUACAUUAAAACCCAGUCCUGAAAUAUGACGGUAUGACUGGCUCCCUCUCCUCGCCCUCCCCUCCAUCUAAAUGACAGUUAGCAGAUUCAAUAAAAUAGCAUAGGAUUUGGCAUAGAAAACCUGGAUUUGAGUUUUGGCUCUGCUACCUACUAGUUAUGUGAUCAAUUAACCUUGCUAAGCUAUGGUUUCCUCACCCUAAAAUGGGGUAAUAAUAAUGAUACUUACCUUACAUAAUUAUUGGGAAAAUAAAAUAAAAAUAUUUUCUGCACUCUAAAGAAUUUUAUCAAUUUUAGUUAUUAAUGAU